GAUGAACGCUAGCGGCAGGCUUAACACGUGCAAGUCGAGGGGUAGAACACUUCGGUGUUUGAGACCGGCGCACGGGUGCGUAACGCGUAUGCAAUCUACCUUGUACAGGGGAAUAGCCCAGAGAAAUUUGGAUUAAUGCCCCAUAGUAUAUAACCUUCGCAUGUUGGUUAUAUUAAAGUUCCAACGGUACAAGAUGAGCAUGCGUCCCAUUAGUUAGUUGGUAAGGUAACGGCUUACCAAGACGAUGAUGGGUAGGGGUCCUGAGAGGGAGAUCCCCCACACUGGUACUGAGACACGGACCAGACUCCUACGGGAGGCAGCAGUGAGGAAUAUUGGUCAAUGGGCGCAAGCCUGAACCAGCCAUGCCGCGUGCAGGAGGACGGUCCUAUGGAUUGUAAACUGCUUUUAUACAGGAAGAAACCCUCCCACGUGUGGGAGAUUGACGGUACUGUAGGAAUAAGGAUCGGCUAACUCCGUGCCAGCCGCCGCUGUAAUAC
rnacentral:rRNA from 1 species